rnacentral:rRNA from 1 species
AUUGAACGCUGGCGGAAUGCUUUACACAUGCAAGUCGAGCGGCAGCGCGGGGGCAACCCUGGCGGCGAGCGGCGAACGGGUGAGUAACAUAUCGGAACGUACCCCGUCGUGGGGGAUAACACAGCGAAAGCUGUGCUAAUACCGCAUACGACCUGAGGGUGAAAGCGGGGGACCGUAAGGCCUCGCGCGAUGGGAGCGGCCGAUAUCGGAUUAGCUUGUUGGUGAGGUAAAGGCUCACCAAGGCGACGAUCCGUAGCUGGUCUGAGAGGACGACCAGCCACACUGGAACUGAGACACGGUCCAGACUCCUACGGGAGGCAGCAGUGGGGAAUUUUGGACAAUGGGGGGCAACCCUGAUCCAGCCAUUCCGCGUGAGUGAAGAAGGCCUCGGUUGUAAAGCGUACUUCUAGCAGGAACGAAACGGUAGG